GUACUGUUCCCCAUGGCUUGGAUGAAUGUUCUGCCACAUUUGUCAGCCAUCGAAUUCCAUUCGGCCUGAGCUAUGGGCAUUGGGGUCAAUUUCCUUGCCUCCAAUUUACAUAACCCUUUGAGGAGAAUGACAGGAAGUGGCAUCUAUGCACCAGAUUUUCCAAGAACAUUUCAUUACGAUAUGAAGACCCAGGAGGGAAAACUCCUGUCCCAGCUGGAUUCCCAUCCAUACCGCCCCGUAGUGAAUUGGACUUCUUAUGCCAGCAGUAUAGAAGCCCUCUGGACAGGGAACCGGGAAUUUAAAGGAACUGUCUUUUUUGACGAAUACAUCUUUGUGGAGCUGAAAGGAAUCACAGGAAAUUACACAGUUUGCCAGAAAGAUCUUUGCUGUCAUCUAAGCUACCAGAUGUCUGAGAAGAGGUCAGAUGAAGUUUAUGCCUUAGGAGCAUUUGAUGGGCUGCAUACUGCUGAAGGACGCUAUCAUCUACAGAUUUGCACCCCGCUGAAGUGUAAAACCCCUGAUAUACAGAGCUGUGGUGGCUCAGUUGACACCGCUGCUACCAGGUUCGAGAUGUUCUCCCUCAGUGGUACUUAUGGGACCCAGUAUGUCUUUCCUGAGGUUUUGCUGAGCAAAGUUCAGCUUGCACCCAGAGAAUUUCAGGUGACAUUUUGAUGUCAGGAGGCCAAAAACCCCAUCCUCAGAUCAUUUUCUGAGCAUAUUUCCUAUGAAGAGCCAUGAAGAUUCCUUGUGUAUGGGCACUGAUGAUGUCACCUCCAUCCAUCUGCUUCUUUAUCCCAUAAAUAUCUCAAAGACCCCAGGAUGCAGAUCUGAGGCUGGGGUAUGCAUUUCCGUGCUUGGCUACUUUGCAAAUAAACUCUGUUUUGCAGAACUUAGUGGUUUCAGUGGUUAGCAUCCUACACUCUGGGCAUAAUGGGCCUGGUUCUGUAACACUUGGAUUGUGGGAGUGGUAUGCAACACAACACCAACACUUCCCUGUGUUUUGUCAUGUGCGGGAGGCCUGGAGAUUAGCAACUGAAAAUAAGAACAAAGAGAUUAUGUAAAAGUGCAAAUUUCCAUUGAUGAAUGUCAUUAUAUUGUAUACCUAAAAUGUACCAAUAAAAUUAAUUUAAAAAUAAAAGAAAUUUUAAAAAAAAGAAAGUCAACACCAGCCGAUAUUCUGAUGCCCAGUGUUGUCCUAAUUAGUUCUGGUAUCCUCAGUGGAAAUUCUUUUGUUUGCCUCCUGGAAUUAUCU
rnacentral:lncRNA from 1 species